AUCCGCAGCAACUGAAUAUCGCAUAUAGAAGGUGGUUCUUAUGAUAAUUGUAGUGUAUUUCGUUAUCUACAAAGAAUGUUACCAACAUGCUUCCCUCAAAAAAACAUUUGGUGCACAUAGACACCGUUGAAGAAGGGGAAGGCUACGCCGGAGGUGGAUCUAAAUCAUCUCGAAGAAGAGGAGAGAAAGAAAAUGGAAGGAUUGGUGUGGACUGUUCGUCAAAAUAAUUAUGGAAAUCAAGUGUUAAUGUAAAAAUAUUGCGUCGUGCUGCUAGCACAUGUAAUAGAAAGUGAACGCCUUACAAAGGAAUAAAAA